UACGUAGGGUGCGAGCGUUGUCCGGAAUUAUUGGGCGUAAAGAGCUCGUAGGCGGUCUGUCGCGUCUGCUGUGAAAACCCGAGGCUCAACCUCGGGCCUGCAGUGGGUACGGGCAGACUAGAGUGCGGUAGGGGAGAAUGGAAUUCCUGGUGUAGCGGUGGAGUGCGCAGAUAUCAGGAGGAACACCGAUGGCGAAGGCAGUUCUCUGGGCCGUAACUGACGCUGAGGAGCGAAAGCGUGGGGAGCGAACAGG
rnacentral:rRNA from 1 species